GUGGCAGUGUAGGUGGAAGUGGCAGUGGAGGAGGUGGAGGUAGCCAACACUGUUUUUUAUAUAUAUAUAUAUAUAUAUAUAUAUUUUUUUUUUUUAAUUGCAGUAGCCCCAAAAAUAUUGGGACAUAUAAGAAAAGAAACAUUUGCGGCCUGCGGUGCAUUUCUUGCAGUCCUGAUGCAUGGAGAAAUGCUCAACUCCUGAUGCAUGGAGAAAAGGCCUUCACAAGCCUCUGCCAUUGUGUACAUAGUUUAUGCUAAGUGACCCAUAGGUUGAGGAGGUGGUGACCGUGGCGGUGUAGGUGGACGGGUAACGGGGAAUCAGGGUUCGAUUCCGGAGAGGGAGCCUGAGAAACGGCUGCCACAUGCAAAGAAGGCAGCAGGCGCGCAAAUGACCCACUCCCGACGCGGGAAGGUAGUGACAAC